AGGACGAACGCUGGCGGCGUGCUUAACACAUGCAAGUCGAGCGGAAAGGCCCUUCGGGGUACUCGAGCGGCGAACGGGUGAGUAACACGUGAGUAAUCUGCCCUUAGCUCUGGGAUAGCUCCGGGAAACCGGGAUUAAUACCAGAUACGACCACUUUAGACAUCUGCCGUGGUGGAAAGAAUUUCGGCUAAGGAUGAGCUCGCGGCCUAUCAGCUUGUUGGUGGGGUAACGGCCUACCAAGGCGACGACGGGUAGCCGGCCUGAGAGGGCGACCGGCCACACUGGGACUGAGACACGGCCCAGACUCCUACGGGAGGCAGCAGUGGGGAAUAUUGCGCAAUGGGCGAAAGCCUGACGCAGCGACGCCGCGUGGGGGAUGAAGGCCUUCGGGUUGUAAACCCUUUCAGCAGGGACGAAGCGAAAGUGACGGUACCUGCAGAAGAAGCGCCGGCUAACUACGUGCCAGCAGCCGC
rnacentral:rRNA from 1 species